rnacentral:lncRNA from 1 species
ACACUCAUUCAGCAACAGCAGCACCACCACCACCACCAGCAGCAGCGGACAGCCCUGAGGAGGUAUUAGACCCUCCAUGCUGUCUUAAACCUUGCAUGCUUUUUGUCUGUUUUCCUGCCACUUCUAAGCCUGACUGUUGUCAGGGUCGGUGGCUUACAUCCAUUGUUAGCCCAGGGUCCCUCCUCUUAACUGACUGCUGGCUGGCCCUAGUCAGACCUACAGUUUGAUGCUGAGUGGCCUCUCUUCCGGUAUUAGUGGGGAGAAUAUCCUGCCUCACUGGAGUCCCCCACCCCCAGCGACUGAGAAUUCAUGCAGCUUGCCCAGUGGCUCCAGAGGCCAAGUCUCUCUCAUGUCUUUGCAUGGGGCCUGCUGGGACUCGUCUCCUGCUAUGCUUCAGCUCCUGCCCAAUCACUUACCUGUGCCAGGAGAAGCCUCUGGACAUGCCUGGGCAGCCUCUGGACAUGCACUGCUCCCAUUCCUCGCUGAGAGGGCAUCUCCCCGAGUGCCUCUCCAUCCCAGUAGACUCUCCAGAUGUGCCCAGUCCUCAACUGGUGUGGCCUCACCAGAGAGACUCAGACCAAACAGGCCUCCACAGCCUCUCUCUAGACACUUUCUGGGAAACCACAGUGGAAUACAAAAGGUCCUCAUUUGCCCUGAACCCUGGGAAGCCCUGUGGCAUUGGUUCAUGAGUGCUGUGGUUGGUUAUUUGGAACUUAAUUCUCUUGGUAUUUGCCACUUCCCAGUUGUCCCCUUUACUGUUCACAGUCCCCACCUAUAAUCCUCGGCUUCCUGGCACUUCCGGAGCCCAUAUUAACGUACCAAUUUUUUGUACCCCAUUUAGGGCACCAACUGUUCUGAUCUCUUGAAGAGCUCCUCAGGCAACCUUCUGUUUCUAGCAAGAUGAUACACCCAAGCCUUGAUGACAAGGCUUGGCUCUCAACCUCCUUGCUCCCCACCUCCUGUGAAAUACACAAAGAAAUUCAGUGAUCAUCGGGGAUGCUCUGGUCCAAACACUACCUGCCAGCCAGACGCAGGAGAUGGAUGGCUCAGCAGUAAUCGUGCUGCUUGAGCUUGGUGUCUAAUGGGGACAGUAGUGACAGGAAGUUCACAGGGACUGGAAGACAUGAGUUCUCUGAGGGAAAGGAAGGUGAAGCCUGGUGCUUAGGACCCUCAGGAGACCAUAGGAUGUGAGAAGGCUCAAGACACCCAGAGGUGGGGUCAGAAACAGGGCAAAGGAGACCAAGCAUGGGAGAGCUGCAGUGGACGUGUACAGACAGGAGAAGCAGGCCCUAAAGAAUCCCUGAGGCGGCAGAGAGGCUGGGCUGUGGAACUUUUUAAUUACUUUGCAUUAGGGGACUGUAGAGACCCAGAAGCCCACCCUUCCCCUCCCCUCAUCAGCUUAGCCCCAACAUAUGGUGGCUACCAAAGUAGUUAAAUCGGCUCUUGGUAGAAAAGGAAAGAGAUUCCUCCCAGGCUCUUCCCAGGGUCCACGGCCACACUCCAGGAGGGCUCAACUCCAGGGCAAGGCAGCUGGGACAGCAGGCAGCUGAAGGAGGACUAUUACUGCACCUUAGGGAAGAGUGCAGUGGCGAGUGGGGAGGACUCUGCUGGGACCCGGGGGUCAUGUGCAUUCCCAUUUAGUUGAGCUCUGCUUAAUCCGGGCCUAGGCUCACAGUAAUGGGGAACGAGGAGAGGCUCCCAUCAGAGACCAAGAAGAUGACAGACUCUCUGUAAAGGCUGUCAGAGGGGUCUGCAUGACCAACCACACCUGCUCCUGUUCCUUUGGGGCUCUUGUGACCUCCCUGUCUUCUUGUGAGAUCUUAUGUUCCUCCAACCCUGAGAGCUACAAACCAAUCUCCGGAAUAAAAAAAUCUGUCCCUCGUGCUGUCA